rnacentral:rRNA from 1 species
CCUACGGGAGGCAGCAGUGGGGAAUAUUGGGCAAUGGGCGCAAGCCUGACCCAGCAACGCCGCGUGAAGGAAGAAGGCUUUCGGGUUGUAAACUUCUUUUGUCAGGGAAGAGUAAACGACGGUACCUGCCGAAUAAGCCACGGCUAACUACGUGCCAGCAGCCGCGGUCAUACGUCGGUGGCAAGCGUUGUCCGGAUUUACUGGGUGUAAAGGGCGUGUAGCCGGGUUGACAAGUCAGAGGUGAAAGCCUGCGGCUUAACCGCAGAACUGCAUUUGAAACUGUUGAUCGUGAGUACUGGAGAGGCAGACGGAAUGCGUAGUGUAGCGGUGAAAUGCGUAGAUAUUAGGAGGAACACCAGUGGCGAAGGCGGUCUGCUGGACAGCAACUGACGGUGAGGCGCGAAAGCGUGGGGAGCAAACAGGAUUAGAUACCCUUGUAGUC